rnacentral:rRNA from 1 species
CCUACGGGAGGCAGCAGUGGGGAAUCUUGCACAAUGGGGGAAACCCUGAUGCAGCGAUGCCGCGUGAGUGAAGAAGGCCUUUGGGUUGUAAAACUCUUUCGUCGGGGAAGAAAAUGACUGUACCCGAAUAAGAAGGUCCGGCUAACUUCGUGCCAGCAGCCGCGGUAAUACGAAGGGACCUAGCGUAGUUCGGAAUUACUGGGCUUAAAGAGCUCGUAGGUGGUUAAAAAAGUUGAUGGUGAAAUCCCAAGGCUUAACCUUGGAACUGCCAUCAAAACUUUUUAGCUAGAGUGUGAUAGAGGUAAGUGGAAUUUCUAGUGUAGAGGUGAAAUUCGUAGAUAUUAGAAAGAACACCAAAUGCGAAGGCAACUUACUGGGUCACUACUGACACUGAGGAGCGAAAGCAUGGGUAGCGAAGAGGAUUAGAUACCCUCGUAGUCCAUGCCGUAAACGAUGUGUGCUAGACGUUGGAAAUAUAUUUUUCAGUGUCGCAGCGAAAGCAUUAAGCACACCGCCUGGGGAGUACGACCGCAAGGUUAAAACUCAAAUGAAUUGACG